UAAUACGUAGGUGGCGAACGUUAUCCGGAUUUAUUGGGCGUAAAGAGAGUGUAGGCGGCUUGUUAAGUCGAGUGUUAAAUCUCCUGACUCAAUCAGGAGCUGCAUUUGAUACUGGCAGGCUUGAGGGCAGCAGAGGAAAACGGAAUUCCCAGUGUAGCGGUGAAAUGCGUUGAUAUUGGGAAGAACACCAGAGGCGAAGGCGGUUUUCCAGGCUGUUUCUGACGCUGAGAUUCGAAAGCGUGGGGAGCGAAGCGGAUUAGAUACCCGCGUAGUCCACGCCUUAAACGGUGGACAUUAGGUAUAGGAAGUAUCGACCCUUUCUGUGCCGUAGCUAACGCUUUAAAUGUCCCGCCUGGGGAGUACGGUCGCAAGGCUA
rnacentral:rRNA from 1 species